rnacentral:rRNA from 1 species
AUGCAUUACGCCGCGUGAGGGAUGAAGGCCUUCGGGUUGUAAACCUCUUUUAGUAGGGAAGAAGCGAAAGUGACGGUACCUACAGAAAAAGCACCGGCUAACUACGUGCCAGCAGCCGCGGUAAUACGUAGGGUGCAAGCGUUGUCCGGAAUUAUUGGGCGUAAAGAGCUCGUAGGCGGUUUGUCGCGUCUGCUGUGAAAACCUGAGGCUCAACCUCAGACCUGCAGUGGGUACGGGCAAGCUAGAGUGCGGUAGGGGAGAUGGGAAUUCCUGGUGUAGCGGUGGAAUGCGCAGAUAUCAGGAGGAACACCGAUGGCGAAGGCACAUCUCUGGGCCGUAACUGACGCUGAGGAGCGAAAGCGUGGGGAGCGAACAGGAUUAGAUACCCUGGUAGUCCACGCCGUAAACGGUGGGUGCUAGUUGUGGGUCACAUUCCACGUGAUCCGUGACGAAGUUAACACAUUAAGCACCCCGCCUGGGGAGUACGGUCGCAAGACUAAAACUCAAAGAAAUUGACGGGGGCCCGCACAAGCGGCGGAGCAUGCGGAUUAAUUCGAUGCAACGCGAAGAAGCUUACCAAGGCUUGACAUAUAGAGGAAAAGUGUAGAAAUACACUCCCCGAAAGGUCUCUAUACAGGUGGUGCG